rnacentral:rRNA from 1 species
ACGAACGCUGGCGGCAGGCCUAACACAUGCAAGUCGAGCGCGCCUUCGGGUGAGCGGCGGACGGGUUAGUAACGCGUGGGAACGUACCCUUUUCUACGGAAUAGCCUUUGGAAACGAAGAGUAAUACCGUAUACGCCCUUUGGGGGAAAGAUUUAUCGGAGAAGGAUCGGCCCGCGUUAGAUUAGAUAGUUGGUGGGGUAACGGCCUACCAAGUCUACGAUCUAUAGCUGGUUUUAGAGGAUGAUCAGCAACACUGGGACUGAGACACGGCCCAGACUCCUACGGGAGGCAGCAGUGGGGAAUCUUAGACAAUGGGCGCAAGCCUGAUCUAGCCAUGCCGCGUGAGUGAUGAAGGCCUUAGGGUCGUAAAGCUCUUUCGCCUGUGAUGAUAAUGACAGUAGCAGGUAAAGAAACCCCGGCUAACUCCGUGCCAGCAGCCGCGGUAAUACGGAGGGGGUUAGCGUUGUUCGGAAUUACUGGGCGUAAAGCGCACGUAGGCGGAUUGGAAAGUUGGGGGUGAAAUCCCGGGGCUCAACCCCGGAACUGCCUCCAAAACUAUCAGUCUAGAGUUCGAGAGAGGUGAGUGGAAUUCCAAGUGUAGAGGUGAAAUUCGUAGAUAUUUGGAGGAACACCAGUGGCGAAGGCGGCUCACUGGCUCGAUACUGACGCCUGA